rnacentral:tRNA from 1 species
GUCCUCGUGGCCCAACCUUGGGAGAGGCGCCAGGUCGAGAGCCUGGUCACGUGCGGGUUCGAAUCCCGCCGAGGACAC